GGUUACCUGUCAUGCCCCUGGUCUGCCACAAGGAGGAGGAAGAGAUUCUCUUCCCUGUGCAGCCAUGGAGGGAGGGAGAGACUGGCCCCUGCUUCUUAACAGCUACAUCCUUGUGGAAAGGCCAACAGAAAACUAAGCAACAAAGCUCCUGUCCCUGCUUCUGUUAAAUGGCAAAGCUCUCCUUCUCUUCUUGGCACCAUGAUGACCUGCAAAAUCAAUGUUAUGGGUGCCUCAAAUACCUACCACAUCAAGCAUAAAAACUGAACUGCUACCACCAAGUGUUUUGCCAGCUUGCAAGAAGCAGCUCCUUUUAGCUGCUUGCUAUCAACAGUCUGGCCUUGAAGCACUGUUUUCACUCAGGAGUGCUCUGAGAGUGUAAAAUAACCCUGAAACCAGAAUAGAUAAGGCCAGGUUUAAUCCAUGACUCAUCCUUGACUUUUUGUCGAAAUUUUCUGUGACAAAACAACACAACCUUACUGGUUAUUGGCUAAAAAAAUAGAACUUUAUACAAAUGGAAAAAAGAACUCCCUGCUCCACUCCAGAAAGAUGUUCUGAUUACAAAUUGAAACAGCACAAGUUGAAACAGAAAUGCUAAGCAGGAAAAUAAACCCGGAAGUUGCUGAAACAUGAAACUCCAACGCCUUUCAUCACCACGACCUAGAUAAAUCCACCCCCAUGCAUACUGAUACGAUCCAAUAUGAUCUGAAAAUGUCAGACACCACUAUGGCUACAGCAAUUCCUUUGAAGUUACUGAAAUUAAAGUAUCUUGGCUUCUUUACUAUAUGCUAAAACUCUUUCUACUGGUGUUAAUGUUGUUCUCUCCAAACAUACAACAACAAUAUUCUUGUGAAAAAACUAUUCUAAUUCCAUGGAUUAAUCAGGAUGCAUGAGAAAGGAGGACAGUCUCACCUCAAAUUGCAGGAAAAUCUCACCAGUAACUUUUCAUGAAAAUACAGCACAUGAUGACUUCAUGAGGAUUGCACCAGUACCACUAAGGCAGACUAUGACUCAUGUCUUUAACAGAGGUUUAAGACUAGAAACCUGGAGCAGCAAAUCACUGUAGGACAAGCUUGCACAUGUUUCUGUUCUUUGCUCAAUCACAGGUUUUCCAUCCCGUCACCUUGUCUUUAGCCAGGUAAACCUUCUUAGCAGAUGAACCUGUAUUUGACUAAGUAAUACAAACUGACAUGUAAAAUGUCACCUACUUAAACAUAUCUGCUUCCUGCUUAUAUUCAAAAUCAUACUUUUAUGUUAGUGAGAAAAAUAUAAUAGCGAGUUUUGACUGCUUAUUACUCCUAAUAGCCUUUCAAAGGCCAAACUGUUAUGAAGUUCAUAGUUAGAUUAUUUCUAGAUCAUGUAUAAUCAACAGGGAUCUGAGUUUUCUGUUUCCCAUGGUGUUGCACCACAGCCUAACCAGCGACCGACUUUGAGAGUACCCAAAGUGAGCUCUCCUCCCCUCAUUUGCCAUGACUUGGUGUUAAUAUUAUUCUAAGGAGGGGUUCAGUGAUGUCAGUACAGAGGUCCCUGUUAGGGGUACUCAUGGUUUGGAUGUGGUUGACAUUGGGGCUCCACCUCUCCUACACCCUGGCCACACACAAACCAUCGGUGUUGAGGCAUUGAAGACAUUUGCGGCACCUCUGGCCUUGUCCGAUCCUCCAGUGGUUGCUGGCUGUUGACCCAACAUUGACCUCUCAGGGGUUGCUGCCUCCGUCUAUACAGUCUCUAUUGCCCUGCUUGGCCGUAUGCCUACCCUUGGCACUCUGAGAGGUAGGCUCAUGACUGGCCCUAACUCAGAGGCACAGGUACCCUGGCUUUGUGGCCUUACCAACUUCAGUCAAAAGAAAUAAUACUAAGGAAACAAAAAAGCCUCCACUCUGGAUGGACUGUCUAUUCCAGGCUCAAUAAGCCCCUGAAUGAGUGAAUGAGUGUCCCUUACUCCCUUUUUCAAGGAAUAGUCCCUGAACAGUGUUGGAGCUGUUGUCUCCCCUCAUCACUGGUAGGGCUUUCCUGCCCUGGGCUAGCAGGGUACCUGUGGCUCAAGUGCCUCCCUGGCCCAGUAUCUUGAGGCCGCUCCUGCCUUGGCCUCUGCUGGCCAGGAGGCAGUUCCUCUCCCCCUGCUCCCCACUGGUACUCUGAGUGCUUUUUAAAUUCCCUGCAGUGGCAACUGUGCCUAACCUCAUCAGCCGGGCACUGCCUAGGUUAAUUGACAGGGGUCUUUAAAAAUCACAGUGGUGGCGUCGCGUGUUGCCGCAGCUCUGGCUCUCCCAGCCCUGAAGGUAAGUUUUCCUUUUUUCCUGGGACUCUCUGCUCGGUCCAUUCUGAAUCAACCAGGGAUCUUGGGUUACUCAGGAAGUGUGUACUCCCUAUCAUCACACAUGGAAAAAACCACAGAUUUUCCUUUUUACCAGAGAAAAAACAAUGAUUUUUCAUUUUGACAGAAAAACACGUGGAUUUUGCUGUUUUGCAAAGAGCUCUCUGCCGGCUGGCAGAGUUACAGCCUGUAAGGGGCUGGGGGGAGUGGGAGGAAGUGGCCUGUCAGGCAGGGGGCACCCCACCAGACUUAACCUGUGGGAGCUGCUCUUUUGCCAGGGCAACGUGGGUCUCACCAUGGCAAGGAGCCUUCCCACUCAGCCCUGCUCUGCCCUGCUGUGCUGGGUCCUGCUUGCUGGGUCACAGAGGCCCCCGGAGAGGGUAGCAGAGUGGGGAGCCCAAGCCCACAGUGGGCAGCCUGCACCUAACCCCCACACCUGCCCCGCACAUAGAUCUGGGAGGCAUGAGUCCCUGCCUCCCCAGGAGUGCACACAGUGGUGAGGAGGUCCCACCCUCCUGCCCAAGCCUGCAGCAGGCAGCCUGCAACACCCCCCCACCCAUCCCUAUAGGCUUUGCUCGGGCCAUGCUGCCCGAGGGAGACCCAGGCUCCCUGCUUGGGCCACAGCAGCCUCCUGAGGGCAGCAGCCAGGGCACAAAGGCUGUUGCAGGGGGUAGGGGGCUGUGGAUCCAGGUCCCUUGUACUGUAGCCCUGGUAGCAGGGUGCCCCCUCCUACAGAGCUGGGGGAGGGGUAAGGGACUGUGGGUAGGGGAUGAGGGACACCAGCAGGGCUGAGGGGCUGUGGCUUGGGAGUAAGGGGCCUGGACCUGUGUCCUAGUGAGCUAAGAGGGCAGGGUGAGCUCUGAUUUUCUAUGAUAAAAAACCCAAAAUUAAAUACCAAAACAUAUAGAUACUUAGAAUUUAUUUUACUAUGGUUAUGGAGGCAGUGGUAGGCUUCCAAAUUGCUUUACAAUGGUAAAUAUAUCAAUAAAACAUUGUGUUCAAUUGAUACAUACAUA